rnacentral:rRNA from 1 species
GGACGAACGCUGGCGGCGUGCUUAACACAUGCAAGUCGAACGGAAAGGCCCUGCUUUUGUGGGGUGCUCGAGUGGCGAACGGGUGAGUAACACGUGAGUAACCUGCCCUUGACUUUGGGAUAACUUCAGGAAACUGGGGCUAAUACCGGAUAGGAGCUCCUGCUGCAUGGUGGGGGCUGGAAAGUUUCGGCGGUUGGGGAUGGACUCGCGGCUUAUCAGCUUGUUGGUGGGGUAGUGGCUUACCAAGGCUUUGACGGGUAGCCGGCCUGAGAGGGUGACCGGCCACAUUGGGACUGGGAUACGGCCCAGACGCCUACGGGAGGCAGCAGUGGGGAAUAUUGCACAAUGGGCGGAAGCCUGAUGCAGCAACGCCGCGUGCGGGAUGACGGCCUUCGGGUUGUAAACCGCUUUCGCCUGUGACGAAGCGUGAGUGACGGUAAUGGGUAAAGAAGCACCGGCUAACUACGUG